CAGACGGUGGAGAGGGUGUUCCUGUCGCAUUUGUGAUUUCACUCUAAAUAGGAAGGAAUCGGCGCUGGAUUGUUACACAACUGUUACACCAGUGAAGGAUGUCUGUGUGCCGCCUUGCAUUCAGUUUCUCAGUCAUGGGGGCCUGCUUGCAACACCAGUGGCAAAGCAGUCUUGCAUUGUGCUAUUUGUUCUGGAAGGACACAAGCAUUGAGGAGCCAUUUGACCUGCCACUACACUGAUACUGUACUUGGUAGGUUC